rfam:Picea glauca, whole genome shotgun sequence.
UUAUGUACAUGCCUACAACAUUAAUGCAUGUGAUCCAAUUAGAACUCCACAAUUAAGCAUGCUUGGGCUAGAGUAGUACUGGGAUGGGUGACCUCUCGAGAAGUCCUAAUGUUUUACAUGCC